AAGGGAGAGGAAAUACUUUCUUUUUAUCGCAUUAGUCGACUUAUAAGGUAAUAACAAGGAGUCAAGCAUUUUCUACUUUUUUCAGGUCUUUACAUGUUUGGGAUGCAUUUGGAGAUUAUGGAGCAUUCUGGAGCAACAAAGACAACUUAAGCUGCACAAGCAAUUCGGAGACGGAAAUUGACGUAGGUGUCGAUCGACACAACCCCUGGUGUCGAGCGAUAC
rnacentral:sRNA from 1 species